rnacentral:lncRNA from 1 species
UGAUGAAUAAAGUUUUCUCUCUUUGAAUAAUUUUUCAAUUUUCUUCUGAAAGAUUAUCCAACAAAAUUUUUUUGUUUUUUUGUUCCUCUAGAAAAUCUGUAAUUGUGAUGCAUCGCAUAUUUUCCCUAAUUAUCAAGAAACGUUCAAACGGAAAACAUAUAAAACUAAGGAAAACUCUUUAAAUAAGUAUUUCGCGUAAUGUCAGUUAAAGUACAUCAGGAAAAAAAAAAAAAAGCACUUAGCGUGUCUUCAUUCUUCCGGCGCAAAGAGGAAAAAAAAAAAUCAAAAAAUAUUCAUUUUUCUCAUCAAAAAACAAUAUGGCAUCAUUUUAAAAAUACAAAAAGAAAAGAAAGAAAUUCUUUAAACGUUUUUCUUUUUUUAUUUAUUCCGGGCGUCGAUCAAUCGAAGAAAAUUGAUUAAAACGGAACUUAAUUAACUAAUGAAUUAAUUAACUGACUAUCAUAUUUUUAUGCUUUAUAAAGCGAGCGACUUCGAUUCGGUUGUGUCAGAAGCGUUGCGUAAUUCGAUUACUGAAACUGCUUUACGCAUUCGUCCUAAUUAAAACUGAUGUUUUGCUGAAAAUCGCUUCACGUCCAGGAAGACGGUCGAUUACCAAGCCAUCACUUCCUGCACGGGCGGAGGAGGGGUGCUAAUGAACGUCAUUGGACGUCAACGAUGACGUCGAUGACGUCAAUUUAAUUAAUGCGGUAAAUUCGACACUAACGCCAUCUGUGUUUAAUUGAACAGAUUAAAUAAUUCAAAAAUUUAAUUAAAAUUUUUAAUAUUUAUAAAAAUAGACGUAUAUGUUUAUACACACACGUAUAUAUAUAUAUAUAUAAUAUGCUAAAUAUGCUAAUGAAUAAAGUGGAC